rnacentral:rRNA from 1 species
UACGUAGGGUGCGAGCGUUGUCCGGAAUUAUUGGGCGUAAAGCGCGCGCAGGUGGUUUCUUAAGUCUGAUGUGAAAGCCCACGGCUCAACCGUGGAGGGUCAUUGGAAACUGGGGAACUUGAGUGCAGGAGAGAAGAGUGGAAUUCCACGUGUAGCGGUGAAAUGCGUAGAGAUGUGGAGGAACACCAGUGGCGAAGGCGGGUCUCUGGGCCAUUACUGACGCUGAGGAGCGAAAGCGUGGGGAGCGAACAGG